UUGAACCGCAUGGUUCAAAAGUGAAAGACGGUCUUGCUGUCACUUAUAGAUGGAUCCGCGCUGCAUUAGCUAGUUGGUAAGGUAACGGCUUACCAAGGCAACGAUGCAUAGCCGACCUGAGAGGGUGAUCGGCCACACUGGAACUGAGACACGGUCCAGACUCCUACGGGAGGCAGCAGUAGGGAAUCUUCCGCAAUGGGCGAAAGCCUGACGGAGCAACGCCGCGUGAGUGAUGAAGGUCUUCGGAUCGUAAAACUCUGUUAUUAGGGAAGAACAUAUGUGUAAGUAACUGUGCACAUCUUGACGGUACCUAAUCAGAAAGCCACGGCUAACUACGUGCCAGCAGCCGCGGUAAUACGUAGGUGGCAAGCGUUAUCCGGAAUUAUUGGGCGUAAAGCGCGCGUAGGCGGUUUUUUAAGUCUGAUGUGAAAGCCCACGGCUCAACCGUGGAGGGUCAUUGGAAACUGGAAAACUUGAGUGCAGAAGAGGAAAGUGGAAUUCCAUGUGUAGCGGUGAAAUGCGCAGAGAUAUGGAGGAACACCAGUGGCGAAGGCGACUUUCUGGUCUGUAACUGACGCUGAU
rnacentral:rRNA from 1 species